CCGUCCCCAGGCGCUGAUGCUGCUCUCUGCCCUCCCAUCCUCGCACUGACAGUGUUUAUUUUAUUGAUGUCCCUGCUCCGGUGGCCCGAGGCAGCACGAGGCAGCCGCGACGAAGCCAUCAACGGGACUAGCGGGGACCUAGCCUUGUUUUACGACCAUCGAAGCGGCCAUAAUUGUGCAUUCACAUUCACAUUCACCAUUCAGAGGACCAUUCAGAGGCACAGCCAAAGCCCCACUGUCGGAUGGUCUCCCCCUCUCCUCCUCAGUCCCCAUUGGGGGCUGCUUGCAGCUACGUAAUUUGCAAGUGAUUUAUGGGACUUUAUGCAUCAAGGCGGCGGAGGGGGCGGAGUGGGUGGAGGGGGCGGAGGAGCAGGGCCUGCCACUCUGUCGAGUACGAUUUCCAUUUGGCGCUCGCUCUUCCGAACACUUGAUUAGCGUCGAUGAUUGAACGGUUAUUGGUAAAUUGAAAGUUGUGUUCCUUGAUCCCGGGCCGAUUUCGAGGGAAUCGAGGGCAUCGAGGGUGUGCCGAUUGCACAUUUCGGGACGGGAGCACAGCUGUUUUUAAGAGAUUUUCGUGCGGAAUAGAAUGGUAUUUUUCUGUAUUUUGGAUCCAGUGCGCAAGGGCGCCAGCGCCAAGCUGGUAUUUUACAACACUGCCUGAACAGCUGUAAAGAAAAACCCAAGUCUUUCUGUUUUGCCAUCAAUUUUGUUUCCAGCUGGAAAUGGGGUCCAUGACUAGCACGCGCUGGCCUCUGGUCAGUGUUUACCUCUGGGCUUGAUAUCAGUUUGAUUUAUUAGCCACUGCCAGGCACAGACGAGACCGCCGCCAGCGCCAAAGAAUAAUUUGUAACCCACAUAUGCAAUCUUGUGCAAUUUCCGCACUCCAAAGGAACAACGAAGCCACCGACACGGACACGGACACGGACAACCGACCCGUAUCCCUCCUCCCGCCAGCUGUCAGCGCGAACAGUUGCAAACAGACAUGAAGAUUAUGGUCAUUCCCCGCUCGGGUCAUAGCUCGAAACAACUUGAUGUCUCAAAAAGUCCUUAAGCCUGUCAACUGGAGGCGCGAUUUCCAGCGAUUGCCAGUCCUGUUCUUGUAUUUGAUUCUGGCGACUGUUGUUGUGGGCGACGCGUCUAGGCUGUUUGGAAAAUCGCAAAUUUAUGUUAAUUUUAUCGUAAAUGAUGAGCACAGAGAGGAAAUUAAAUGAAAUAAAAUGUGAAGCUUCUCAGGGAAAAUACUCAAAAUUAUUUUAGGAUAUUUCUGUGCUCCCUGGGGCUUCUUUUUAUCCACCGAGAAGAGUCCAAGUACAUGCUUGGCUUUUAAAUAAAUCAAACGCAAUGCACAGGAGGUUAGCUCUACGACCACGUAAAAUCUUUUGGCAAAUCACAAAAAAUCCAAAGAGCUGCCAUUCAAAUCCACUUAACAAAAGGACCUGCCACUGACCCACAGGACCCACAGAACAGAAGGCAGACACAGGGCCAGGGCACAAGGCGGCAGGAACAUGCUGAGUUUCAUCUCAUUCGAUUCCACAUUUCAUUUGAUAAACGCAGGAUUUGAUAGAUGUUCCCGGCGGGCGAAUGUGACGCAUCUUCCAUUUUCCUAUUUUCUUUUUAUACCCUUUUUAUGCGCCCGGAAAAGUUUGCUUGUCCGCCUGGUGUCGGUUUGU